UACAGAGGGUGCAAGCGUUGUCCGGAUUCAUUGGGCGUAAAGAGCUCGUAGGCGGCUCAGUAAGUCGGGUGUGAAACCCUCAGGCUCAACCUGGGGACGCCACUCGAUACUGCUGUGGCUAGAGUCCGGAAGAGGAGAGUGGAAUUCCUGGUGUAGCGGUGAAAUGCGCAGAUAUCAGGAAGAACACCCGUGGCGAAGGCGGCUCUCUGGGACGGUACUGACGCUGAGACGCGAAAGCGUGGGGAGCGAACAGG
rnacentral:rRNA from 1 species